UAUUUUAGCAUUAUUGCUUUUUUCCAAAUCGCAAAUCCAAAUUUUAACAAAAAAUAAAUAAAUGUAAAUCUCCUUACUAAACCCACAAAAAGGACAUGUCUCAUCUUCUCUAAUCAUUUUCAAAGACUUACAUUCUCUUCUCUUUCCUCCCAGCUUGAAAUCAAGGUAAGUGAACUCCAGCAGCAGCUGAAGGAUGAACAGCAGAGCAGAGAGAAAGCUGAGAAAGAUGUGCAGACUCUGAAGGAUGAAUUGGAGAAUAAAAACAAAGAGCUACAAGAGUCCAAGUGUCAGUUUGAGUCUCUCACAGAGGUGAGCCAAAAGUCUGAGCGACAGCUGAGUGAACUAAAAGAAAGAUACAAGGAGGAGUUCAAGAAGAAGAUUCGGGGUGAACAGCAGAGGAGGAAGGAGGUUGAGGAAGAUAUAAAGGCCCUAAAACAGGAGCUGGAAAACAAGAUAAACCAGUUACAAAAAGCCAAAGAAGAACCUGAGGAGGCUGUGAAAGAAUGUGACAUCUCUGAAGAUGAACAUUUGGUGCCAACAGAACCAACCAAAGCUCUGGACAAUUAAUAAAGUACAGUUACAAAUAAUGAUGUCACGGGCAAAAAAAUAGGUCCCCUGAAUUUUAUUUAACUGAUCUCUGUUUAAA